rnacentral:rRNA from 1 species
AGCGAACGCUGGCGGCAGGCCUAACACAUGCAAGUCGAACGAACCUUUCGGGGUUAGUGGCGGACGGGUGAGUAACACGUGGGAACGUGCCUUUAGGUUCGGAAUAACUCAGGGAAACUUGUGCUAAUACCGAAUGUGCCCUUCUGGGGAAAGAUUAAUCGCCGUUAGAGCGGCCCGCGUCUGAUUAGCUAGUUGGUUGAGGUAAUGGCUCACCAAGGCGACGAUCAGUAGCUGGUCUGAGAGGAUGAUCAGCGACAUUGGUACUGAGACACGGCCCAAAAUCCUACGGGAGGCAGCAGAGGGGAAUCUUGCGAAAUGGGCGAAAGGCUGAAGCAGCCAGGCCGCGUGAAUGAUGAAGGUGUUAGGAUUGUAAAGUUCUUUCACCGGGGACGAUAAUGACGGUACCCGGAGAAGAAGCCCCGGCUAACUUCGUG